UUCCUCCCUCAUCACCGAACUCUCGGAUAUGGAUUGGGUGCAGUCAAUGACUGUGACUGCAUGCAGUCGGUAGAUCACAGCCAUUCGAUUACAAUCGGACGGUUCAGAGUUUAAAGUUAAAAUAUUUAUAUUUUAUAAAAUUAAAACUGCACUAAGAUCUGAGCUGUCCGAUUUUCAUCAAACGGUUCAGAGCAGCUGACUGCAUCCUGACUGCACCAUAGCUGACUGCUCUGAAUCCAAUUCCCGAACUCUCUCUUCUCUCAUUUGCUCCAUUCCCAAUUUUUCUUUCUUUUAGCUUUGUGAGAAAUCUAGGAAGAAUUUGGAGAAGAGGCCUUAAGAAAAGUUGAUCCUUGUUAUCUUGUGGUUCUUUUGAUACUAAAUUUGAGAUUGAUAGCUGGUUCCACGUUUCUUGCGCUGCGUAUUUUUGGUUAUAUACUUAUAUGUGGUUUUUAGAUCGUGACCCUCUACAACAACAUUUUUAGAUUGAUACUGGUUCCGCGUUGAGAAGCGGCGAGGCUUGAAGCUGUCUGCGGGUCUUUGUCACCCAAUUAUCUUUAGUUAGAGUUCAAAGAUCAGCUUAGGGGUAGUAGUUUAAGAGUCUCGUUUACUCUUUUUUAUUGUUCUCUGAUUUGAUUAUGUGAAUUAAUUGUAUUUAUAUUGAUUUGAAUAAAUGUCGUCACUAUGUUUCUUUCGACAUAGCUUUUUUGUUAUGCUUGUAAACUUUUAUCGAGAAAACAAUUUAUAAAAGAUGCAUUGCAUUC